rnacentral:rRNA from 1 species
CGGUUCGAAGCCCGGGCGUGUUCUAGUAGGCGGACGGGUGAGUAACGGCGUGGGCAACCUAGCCCCGUACCCGGGGGAGUAACACCUGGAAACAGGUGCUAAUACCGCAUAAUAAGAGGUUCCGCAUGGGAACCUCCUUGAAACUCCGGUGGUACGGGAUGGACCCGCGUCUGAUUAGCUGGUUGGCGGGGUAACGGCCCACCAAGGCGACGAUCAGUAGCCGGCCUGAGAGGGUGGACGGCCACAUUGGGACUGAGACACGGCCCAGACUCCUACGGAAGGCAGCAG